rnacentral:tRNA from 2 species
GGGCCGGUAGCUCAGCCUGGAAGAGCGCCGCCCUUGCAUGGCUUCCAGGCUGCACCGAGGUCGAGGAAAGGCGGAGGUCCCGGGUUCAAGUCCCGGCCGGUCCA